UCCAGACUCCUACGGGAGGCAGCAGUGGGGAAUAUUGCACAAUGGGGGAAACCCUGAUGCAGCGACGCCGCGUGAGUGAAGAAGUAAUUCGUUACGUAAAGCUCUCUCAGCAGGGACGAAGAUGACGGUACCUGCAGAAGAAGCCCCGGCUAACUACGUGCCAGCAGCCGCGGUAAUACGUAGGGGGCAAGCGUUAUCCGGAUUUACUGGGUGUAAAGGGAGCGUAGACGGCAGGGCAAGCCAGAAGUGAAAACGCAGAGCGUAACUUUGCGACUGCUUUUGGAACUGCCCAGCUAGAGUACAGGAGAGGUAAGUGGAAUUCCUAGUGUAGCGGUGAAAUGCGUAGAUAUUAGGAGGAACACCAGUGGCGAAGGCGGCGUACUGGACUGAGACUGACGUUGAGGCUCGAAAGCGUGGGGAGCAAACAGGAUUAGAUACCCUUGUAGAA
rnacentral:rRNA from 1 species